CCACCUACCCGCGUGGGACAUGGUGAUGGUCUCGUUGGUGCUGGAGCCCACGUUGAAGAUGACCACGGCCGAGGCGUUCUGCAGGAACGCGUUCCGGAUCUUCUCCCGGGUCUCCAAAUGAAUUGGAAAAUUGCUGGGGAAUUCAAGUUCGGGAACCAUCUCUUCCAUGGUCUCUGCUCUUCUUCCUUUGACUGAGUAUGAGAAGUCAAGAUGUGGAGUCAGCGUAAAUGCCCACUAACAGAUGGCUGGAUAAAGAAGCUGUGGUCUGUUCUCUGUAGGAUGCUCUUCUGCCAUUUAGAAAGAUGACAUUGCACCAUUUGGGACAACAUAAAUGAAGUGAAAUGAAGAACUGAAAGACAACCAGCAGAUGUUUUGCUCAUCUUGGGAUAUGAAUAACUAACAUAAACUGGCAAAAAAAAAACCCCACAAAACUAUCUCCUAGACUCAGUGCCAACUCUUGAGGUUAUCAGAAGGUGGAGAGGAAGGAGAGCUAGAGAAGUCUUAAGGGGGCUACUGGCACUGAACAUUUGGUGGUGGGUGUGGAAAAUCUUCUACACAUAUGAAGGUGUAAAGCUGCACCCGAUGGUAUUGUGAGCAAUGGGGAAAAAAAUCAAUAAAAAGGAAGGGGGAAGGGAUCUUGAAAGUGAAAAUAAAUGAAGACACAAAAGUGGGUAUUUAGAAGCGAAAGCAAAUCUUUUUUUUUUUUUUAAUUUAGAUUUUUAUUAGUGAAACACCAUGAGGUACAGUUGUAGAUUUACAAGUUUUUGUGCUUGGGUUUUAGUUAUACAAUGAUCAAAUA